ACUGUAAUUAGAAAAAUCAGAGGAUAAUGUUUAAACUUUUAAGAAACAUAAGAAAAGCUGAGUAAAAAGUUAAUCUGACCUCAGAACUUCUUAUUUUUGAACUUGGUGAAGUUGGUCCAGGCAAAUUUAUUAUAUGUUGUCUAUUACAUUUGCCCAUUUAAUUUCCUUAUAGAAACAAACUUUGAUUUUAAAUGUAAAUCCUAUUGGGGCAUGAAGAAGGUAACGUUUUGCUCCUAAAUUUGCCUACCUGCAUUUGAUUUCUUCAUGACUGUUUUAUGACACACUGCAUAGAAAUAUUUGUACCAUUACAAAUCUGCAAUCUUUACAAAACUAAAACAAUUACAAAGUGUAAGCUGGUGGUGUGACUACUCCAGUCUUUGCCUACCUUAUUAUAUUACUUUUUGUUUAUCAGGUAAAGUGGGUUUGGGGUGAACUCAACUAGGAACACUUGGACCCAAUGUUUCCAGUCUUAUUUAAAGCUGGCUGGUCCUCAUCAUCCUGUUUGUUUUAUGCCACACACCACAUUUGCUCUUCUCCAAACAUCCACACCACACUGUUGAGUCAAGGUUUACUUUGUGUCCUACUGCCUGGAAACAUUUGAUCCCACCUGUUAAAAGUUUUACAUUUUAAUUUCAAAGCUGCAAAUGCAGCACAACUCUGGAGGAAACACACAAGGUUUGAGUAGAGGAAGAAAAAAAACAGGUACCAUAAAAACAAGAACAGUGUAACAAUCAUUUAAUAAAACAAAAAAGUGACAGAUAUUUUAGGAGACUAUAGAAAAACAAAAUGAAUUGUUACCAUGUAAAUAUUGGUAGCUUUCAGAAGCAAACUUAGAAUUAAACAGCUGAAGGAUUAAAGUGGAACAGACCCUUUCUCCAACCACCAGAUCCAAACACCAGUUCUCUAUAAAAUAGAUAAUAGAUUUAAAAGCCAUUGAGAGGAAAACACCAAUAAUUUAUUUCUAAAAAAUACUAACAUGACUGUAAAUUUGGAUAAUGUUGUGCAGAUCUGCUCGUGUGUUCAGAUGUGGGUGCAUGAACACACACAUUAGUGUGCCACGCUGCAGCACUUCUCAGCAGGUGAAAGAAAUCUGGUCCAAUCAGCAGCACCUGAACUCAGGUGAUAUAAGGAAUCCACCAAACAUUUGGCUGGUUUUGCAACAGAGCUGAGAAAAGCAGACAGUCUCCAAAGCAGCAUUUCAUGGGAGAAGGACUUGGAUUUAACAAGGACUACCGGUAAGCCGUUCAUUGGACUCAGUUGGAAUUUGACUUUGGUUUUGCAUUUGAAAAAAAGAAAUGUAGAAUUUAUUGAAGGAGCAGUUUGCACUACUAGUUUUUACAGUUUGGCUCUAUUAAAUGCAUAUUUAAGAUAUUUAAUGUAAAAAUGUAUGUCCUGAUUAAAAGAAAAAAAUCUAAU